rnacentral:tRNA from 1 species
GCUGUGGUGGUCGAGUGGUUAUGGGGUUAGUCUUGAAAUCUAUUGGAGAUCUCCUAUGCAAGUUCAAAUCCCGCUCACAGUA